rnacentral:rRNA from 1 species
AACGAACGCUGGCGGCAUGCCUAACACAUGCAAGUCGAACGAGACCUUCGGGUCUAGUGGCGCACGGGUGCGUAACGCGUGGGAACCUGCCCUUAGGCUCGGAAUAACUCCCCGAAAGGGGUGCUAAUACCGGAUAAUGUCCUCGGACCAAAGAUUUAUCGCCUUUGGAUGGGCCCGCGUUGGAUUAGCUAGUUGGUAGGGUAAAAGCCUAUCAAGGCGACGAUACAUAGCUGGUCUGAGAGGAUGAUCAGCCACACUGGGACUGAGACACGGCCCAGACUCCUACGGGAGGCGGCAGUGGGGAAUAUUGGACAAUGGGCGAAGGCCUGAUCCAGCAAUGCCGCGUGAGUGAUGAAGGCCUUAGAGUUGUAAAGCUCUUUUACCCGGGAUGAUAAUGACAGUACCGGGAGAAUAAGCACCGGCUAACUCCGUG